rnacentral:piRNA from 1 species
UACCUGUGGUUAAGAAGGACUUAGGAGA